GGCGGUUACCAGGUCGGCCCAGUGCGCAGGCGCGGGAAAGUUGAAUUUCCGAAAAGUUUGUUGAAAUUGAGUGAAAGCGUGGGCGCCGGCGCAACUAGAACAGAACCCCGAACAAGAAUCAACUCUCCCACUGGUUCAUCCUCCGUCCUCUCCCUCAGGUGCCUCCAUGGCCGGCUCUGAAGAGCUGGGGCUCCGAGAGGACACACUGAGGGUUCUGGCAGCUUUCCUUAGGCGCGGUGAAGCUGCUGGGUGCCCUGUCCCAACUCCACCCAGGAGCCCUGCCCAAGAGGAGCCAACAGAUUUCCUGAGUCGUCUCCGAAGAUGCCUCCCUUGUGCCCUGGGUAGAGGAGCCCCUCCCCCGGAGUCCUCUCGGCCCUGCUUCCUUCCCCUACGCCCCUGCUAUGACUCGGGACCUGGUCCAGCUACUUCAGACUUCUAUGCCAUGGUUGCCCAGCGUCUGGAACAAUUGGUCCAAGAGCAACUGAGAUCUCCACCCAGCCCAGAGUUCCAGGGACCCCCACCCACAGAAAAGGAAGCCCUGCUAAGGAGGCUGGUAGCCUUGCUGGAGGAGGAAGCAGAAGUCAUCAACCAAAAGCUUCUGACCCAGCUCUGCACCGGAAACUUGCUCGCCUGUCAGCAGGCUCCUUCGCCCGCCUUGUGGAACUCUUCUCCAGUCGUGAAGUCAGCUCCUCCCCAAGUUGUGCAAGCCCCUUGUUGCCAUGCCCGGCGCCCCCACCGCCAUCCCCGGAGCCAUUGGCCCGCCUGGCUCUGGCUAUGGAGCUGAGCCGACGCGUGGCCGGGCUGGGGGGCACCCUGGCCAGCCUCAGUGUGGAACAUGUACACAGCUUUGCGCCCUGGAUCCAGGCCCAUGGGGGCUGGGCAGGCAUCCUGGCUGUGUCGCCUGUGGACCUGAACUUACCCUUGGACUGAGUGCUUCCCCCGAGGCUGCUGCAGGAGUGCCCACAGGGCCUGCUGACACACGUGUUUCCUCUCAGGGCUCAGGUGGUGGCUGCUAUGCCACCUUUCCUUUUUUUUUUUUUUUUUUUUUUUUUUGCCAAAAAGAUUGUUUAGAAAUAUUUCCAUAUUAAAAGCUUUGUUCUUUAA